rnacentral:rRNA from 1 species
CUCGUAGGUGGCCAACUAAGUCAGACGUGAAAUCCCUCGGCUUAACCGGGGAACUGCGUCUGAUACUGGAUGGCUUGAGUUUGGGAGAGGGACGCGGAAUUCCAGGUGUAGCGGUGAAAUGCGUAGAUAUCUGGAGGAACACCGGUGGCGAAGGCGGCGUCCUGGACCAACACUGACACUGAUGAGCGAAAGCCAAGGGGAGCAAACG